GCCUUUUACAAAUAAAAGAAACUAACACAAGAAAAACCUAUUUCAAAUUCAAAACAAAAUAAACAAAAGAAGUUAAAGUGUUGCUGUCACGGUUUUGGUGUAUUCUGCAGAAAUAUCAUGCUCAAUCUUGUUGCUUUUGAUCAUUUCUAGNUGCUGGAGUCACUUAGCUUGUGGUCUCAAUUCUUUUCAGUUUUCUGUUGCAGCCUUACAGAUUCUCCUUUGCCUUUCAAAACUGCACAAACAAGUCAAAUUCAAUAGGCAGACAACAAUUGCAUUAUAAAACUGUAAUUGGCUCCCUUUUCUCUCGGCUUAGGCAGUCAUGGUGCUGUUUUUCCAGCAAAAUAGAAAGUCUGUAGUUUUGUAUAGCUGCUGUGACAGUGUUUGGAAACGGUGCAGAUUCUUCAAAUCCUCUCUCGGGUUUAGGUUCAAUGAGUUUGCUGAUAUGCUACAAGAAGGACUUGUUGUUGCUUAAAAAUUCAACUGCACCAAUUCUCUCUCUCGGCUUUACUGCAAUGGAUGUGGAGGAGGAAUUCAAUUUUUUCUACUGCUGCAGCUUGAAAGAAACAAAGCUUUUCACGGUUUUGUGGUUUUGCUGCAAAAUGCUUAUGCUGCAGAUUGAUGUUGGUGGUCUACUAUUUCCACGCUUAACCCUGGUCACAAAUCUGGUGUACAAUGCUUUCCAAGUCAAAUCUGCAUAAUAAAAAUUACACCAGACAACCAAUAUUCCAACUGAUGGAUACUAAANGUGACUAGUGUUACAAGUUGAAAUCAUAACUCAAUGAACAAAAUACACCAGUUAAAUCAAUGGGUUUUCAAAACUCAUUUCAUCUUGACGGUUGCAGCCAAAACAAAAUUUGCAAAUUGAUUCAAAACUUGAAUAUGAGAAGUUUACAAAUUUUUGUUUUGGAACAACUCANAAGUGUAAAUCAGCAAGUUUAUUUGACAAAAUCAGUUUUGAAUUUUGAUCCAAAUCCAUUUGGCAAUGUGAGUUUCAAUUAAUGAAUCAGAAUCAGAAACAGGGUUGGCAAAACAGCUUUGGCUUCUCACAAGAAUAGGUGUUGUUAAAGUACAACAAACUAGGCUCACAGCUGCAUGGGGUGUAUAGGAGGCUGGUGUUCCAGAUUCACUCAAACUGACUUUGCAAAGGCUGCAAUUCAGAGUUACUUAAUCCACACAAAACUCUCAGCUGCCAAAAUGCUNAAUCUGUUGCUGUCACAGCUGGAUCAACUCAAGGAUUUGUUGUACCGUGUUGUACAGUUUGGAUGUGGCAGCAGUGAAUUUUCGCUCAAACAGUUCUGCUGCAGUUUCAGCAGUUUCAGCAGUAUGACAGCAGAAUUGGCUCUCCUUGUGUCACUUUGCUUUGUUCUUCUAAUCACUUCUCCACUCCCUAAGAUGCUACCGAGACAGGGAAUUCCUGAAGCAAGCCACCUUUCCACGACAGCACCUCUAACAAUGCAGAAUCAACCCAGCAGUGAGUGGAUUUAGUGAUCAGAGAUAUACGUGCUACUGCCCAAACCAGACUGCAAUACUCACCCUUUUAUCAAACAGGUGGUAUGCAAGAAUGCCAAAAAAUGAAAUUAAAGCAAUGAAAAGGUAUAGAAACACGUUGGUACANCAAAGAGAAGCCUAGGAAUGGUUCUAACACAGAUUAAAAAAACAAGAAACAGAAUCAAACUGCAAUUGAAUCGAAUUUAGAAGUAAUUAGAAUUAUGACCAAUCUGUUUGUGAAAAUGCCUGAAUGAAAACAGAUUUUGGUGCCCAAAAUUUUCCAAUUUCCUUGCACUGGCCAAUCAGCUUUUUGUUGAUUUUCAACUCUUUUGAUUACUUACACUGUACUGUUGUAAUUAAUAAACUUUGGCCAAGCUUUUGCUACAAGCUUAUGACAACUCGAUGCACCACACAAAUCAGAAUUCAAUACCAAAAAUUAUGCAGUUUGCACUCAACAAGAAAGCUAAUUCUGGUGGUUUGUUUUAAUGAAAUUUAUAGGCACUGACUUUGAGUGGAAUUUCUCUGCAUAACCAAGUUUUAAUGAGCAAAAUAAACUUGUAGACAGUAGCUUUUGAAGCUAAAUUCAAUCCAUCCAGAAUUAGACUGUUUGAAACUCAAUUAUGCAGUAGAAUUGACUUGAUUUUCACAACUCAACCAACCAGAAUUUGCUUCAAUGAAUCAAAUGACCUUUGGAACAACAUUUGCAUCCAGAUUUAUCAUUUAAAACUUGAAGAAAACAGUGGAAUCAGUUUUAAAGAUGUCCAGCAAUGAUCUACUACUGAACCAACUUGGAAAACACCAAAAAAAAAUGAAAAGCAAUGAAAGUGNAGUACGGUCAACUGCAGAUCUGGCUCAUAUAAUAUUUCAAAUGAUGUUAUCCAGCAUCAUUUCAGUGCUAUCAUGUAUACAUCAUACAUUUUCCAGAAAACUGACUCAGCACAGAAUCAAAAAUUGCAAAAAUUCACUUAGAAUAACUGCAACGAUUAAAAUCACGCUUAUCUCAACUCUGAGCUACAAAUCUGGUUUGUUUAACACAAUUAUACUUUGAGCUCAUCAUUAUGAUUUGUCAUUGCUCUUUAAUUGUGCAGAGUUGUUAAGCUUCAUUCAACUUUGACAAAGGCAGAACACACAAGUUUCAAUAGAAAACAGAAUUUGAAGAACAAAACAGUAACACUUUUAUGACAUGACAGUACAUGACAGAGUUGAUUUCUCAAAAUCAAAUUACUCAAAGCAUGGAAUGACCGAAUAAAAUGAAGAAAAAACACUCAAUGAUAGGUUAGCACACAAUAAAACUCACAAACAGAACCUACUGUAGAAGAAACUUAAUGGAACAGUACACACUUCAAACUAAAACAGAAAAGGAAAUCUGUAACAGUAUGGAAUUGAAGAACAAUGACUUAGCUGGACCGUGCUGCUGAUCAUCCUAGCUCUGAAUACCACUUGAUACGGCCAGCAAGGGAAGACAGUCCAGAUCCAUGAGCUUAGGCAAUGGAACCGUGAAUGUGGAACGAUAUAUGAAGUUGAAACUGAGUGUAUGUGGCAGCGGAAGAUCUGAUUGAAUGAAGAGUGAUUUAGUAGCAGCGGAGGUGUUUGGAUAAUGGUUGAAGCUGGUGAUUGAAGUGCUUAUGGUGGCAGGAGUACUAGCUCAGAAAGCCCUCUCUAGGAAGGAAGCUAGAGGAGAAGGAAAAGAAGCACAAAGGAAUUUGACUCUCGGUGGAGAGAAGACGCUGGAAAAUGCUUCAGCAUAUCUAUUCUCUCAAAUAUCCAAAAGUGUAGUUACAAACUAUGCCAAGAGGUUUUAUAGAUGAACCUCUCGGCCUCCACAAGGAAAAAUGCCUAUGCCAACUAAUCAACAUGUGCUAAAGGAGCUUGGCUUCUAGAAAGCCUUAGGAAUCACGUGACAAAUGAGUUUUAUACAUGUGGAGGAAAAACAAUUACUAAUGCAGCCCCUUAUGAGGAUAAGCACACCCCUCCUUUGUAGAAAUGUCCACUUUACCCCUCUCCAUGUUCUUGGGUUAUCCUUUAUUUGGUGGGCUUGGGCCCCGCGUAUCACC
rnacentral:lncRNA from 1 species